rnacentral:rRNA from 1 species
UACGUAGGGCGCAAGCGUUUGUCCGGAAUUAUUGGGCGUAAAGAGCUCGUAGGCGGCUUGUCACGUCGGGUGUGAAAGCCCGGGGCUUAACCCCGGGUCUGCAUUCGAUACGGGCUGGCUAGAGUGUGGUAGGGGAGAUCGGAAUUCCUGGUGUAGCGGUGAAAUGCGCAGAUAUCUGGAGGAACACCGGUGGCGAAGGCGGCAUCCUGGACCGGCAUUGACGCUGAGGCGCGAAAGCGUGGGGAGCGAACAGG